CAAGUCGAACGGCAGCACGGAGCUUGCUCUGGUGGCGAGUGGCGAACGGGUGAGUAAUAUAUCGGAACGUACCCAGGAGUGGGGGAUAACGUAGCGAAAGUUACGCUAAUACCGCAUACGUCCUAAGGGAGAAAGUGGGGGAUCGCAAGACCUCAUGCUCAUGGAGCGGCCGAUAUCUGAUUAGCUAGUUGGUGGGGUAAAGGCCUACCAAGGCAUCGAUCAGUAGCUGGUCUGAGAGGACGACCAGCCACACUGGAACUGAGACACGGUCCAGACUCCUACGGGAGGCAGCAGUGGGGAAUUUUGGACAAUGGGGGCAACCCUGAUCCAGCAAUGCCGCGUGAGUGAAGAAGGCCUUCGGGUUGUAAAGCUCUUUUGUCAGGGAAGAAAAGGCUGCGGCUAAUAUCUGCGGCUCAUGACGGUACCUGAAGAAUAAGCACCGGCUAACUACGUGCCAGCAGCCGCGGU
rnacentral:rRNA from 1 species